UGGUGCCCACUGUCUCCAAUAGAGCACACUGGCUGGCUAGGGGGGCCAAGGCUCAGGGUGACAAAACACUGUGACAGGCAAAACAUUGUGACAGCAUUAGAGGACCUGGAUUGGAAUCAGACUCAGACCUGCUGUUAGCGAAUCACAUCACCUCUCAGAACAUUAGGCUCCUCAUCCAUAAGAUGGAGCCGAUGUCUGCUCCGCCCGUGAUGUUGGAGCUACCAUUUAGCAUUGAGCUUUCACAUACAGCCCUCCUCUGCUCUUCAUCCUAGGAGGAAGGGAUCCAUCUCCACAGGGUCCGUCACAGAUUCGCCAGAGUGACCAGUUUCUCUUAAUGGAUAGCCACCUCCCCCGAUACGAGGAAAAAAAAGGCCAGGAACCAGGAUGGGAGAAGAGAGGGCAAAGAGGCUCCCUGCCUCAGCAAAAUGAUAGCGGUCCAUCACAACACCCCUGGCAGAGCACUUCCAAACCAACGAAACCAACGAUCCUACCCAAUGCACACCCCAGCUUGUGAGCGAAGAAGAGCAGGUUCUGUGGUUGCCACUUUACAGGUGGGAAAAUUGAGGCCCAGGAAGGUUCAGUGCCUGCCUACGGCUACAACUUGGAUGGUUAGUAUUUAAGCUGAGACUGAACCCAGUCUCCUCUGCCUCUGGGCCUGGUGCUCUUUGCGUGAAGCACUCUACCUAUGGAAUGGUGGCAGAGAGGGUCUCCCUGGGCCCUUCAUCAUGCCUCACUCCUGGGGCCUACUGGGCUGCUUCUCCAGCCCAUCUCCACCAUUCUCACCUCUGUGGACCAUGUGGGAUUACUUCUGCUGCCAUGAUGCUAGCAACACCUCCUGAGGUAGCUCCCCUGCACAUGUGAUUGAGGCAGCAGACUCAGGCCGAGAGAAAGCCGUCAGGACCAACAGGAACCCAGGCAGCAGGCCAGACCGGGCCUGGCUCGUGCCCACAGCACUCUCCAUCUCAGAAAUCUCAGACCUCUUAGCUUGGCCAGUGCUGAUUUCUCUGUUAUCUGCAAGAUCUUGUAUUCUCUCUCUUUCUCUUUUUUUUUUUUUUUUUUUUUUGAGACAGGCUCUCAUUCUGUCACCCAGCCUGGAAUGCAGUGGCACUCAUGGCCCACCGUAGCCUCAACCUCCCAGGCUCAGGCGAUCCUCCUGCCUCACUUUCUCAAGUAGCUGGGACCACAGGAUCACACCACCACAUCUGGCUAAUUUUUAAAAUUAUUUUUAGAGACAGGGACUCCCUAUGUUGCCCAAGUGGUCUCAAACUCCUGGGUUCAGGCAAUCCUCCCAGCUUGGCCUCCGAAAGUAUUGGUAUUACAGGCAUGAGCCACCAUGCCUGGCCAAGAUCUUAUAUUCUGUCUUGCCCUCAGCCUAGAAACUCCCUGAAGGCAGUGGUGAAGGGAAGUAAAGUGAUGUUGAUACCAGCCUUGCAAGACUAAAUAAAAUUAAAUCUGCUACCAAAGAAGUCACGCAGUGCCACCCCUGACAUUGAGGAGAUGCCCAACAUGUAGGCCCCUCCCCCGCCCCUGACAUUGAGGAGAUGCCCAACAUGUAGGCACCCCUCCCCCACCAGACUGCAAGUCUUCCUUCCUUGAGAACUUCUAGUGCCAGGCAGCCCCUGGGCUCCCAGAGGAGCUGGAAGGAGGAAGGGAGGUGCCCAUCUGACAUUUCAGAGGCAGAUGCCCCGGGCACCAUACCCAGAGCAGUGGCAGAACACACUCUGACCUGAGUGCAGGGCUUUAUACACCUCCCAGCCCUGCCACAGCCACUUCACCAAGGCCGGGCUUGCCAAAUUCAGGCCUUGGCAGGCUUGUAAAGGAACUCCUCAGGCCACACUGUCCACCCCAACCGCAACAGAGACAGACAGACACACCUGCCACUAUCCAUCCAUCCUCCUCCCUCCCACCAAACAGCAGGAAAAGAGGAAUGAGCCCCUGAAACUGGAGAGAGAUGGUGGUUACACAUUGGUUCUCCCCACAGUCCUGUGAGGCAUAUAAUAUUAGUUCCACUUCACCGAGGUAGAAGCCCAGGCUCAGAGAGAACAGCCACGGGCACACAGCAAGCAGGUGGCAGAGCUGGGACUGGGAGACUGGCUCAGCCAGCCAGACUCCAAAGCCCAAGCUGUGUUGUGUCCCUCCAGGCUGCAUUCAGGAUUCUGUGCCUCUUAGCGCCCCUUCCCUUCUGUCAGCCCCUGCACACACCACUCACUGGAUCCUUACAGGCGGCCGGACCUGCCUCAGCAACCCUGAGAAGUCAGGCUGGGCUGCCAUUCCCAUUUACUAACAAGGGUGCAGGUCAGCAGGGAAGGUGGCCUCCAAGUGGGCACCAUGGCAGCCCAGGCCCAGAGUUCAGGCAUCCUGUUUCCCAGCCCCAAGUCUCCCCUGUGCUGGGCAGAUUGGGGGAUCACUUCACUCCACCUGGACUCAACACUCACUUUUCUCAUCCCCUGGCCAGUCUCUUCUUAACCUCUCUAGGCCUUGGAGUUGUGGAGAAUGAUAAAAGAAAGGGAUUUGACAUCAAGGCCACCUCUUAUACACAUUGGUUUAUAAGUCUGGUGGGGGGUGAGGGGCUCUCCUGUCCUUGAUUCUCCUCCUUUGAACAUUUUUUCUUCCCGCCUUGACUGUGGACUGAAUUCAAACUCCUGGGCACAUAAGGUAGGGAGCCAUGCCUUGGGGAUGGCGGGGAGGGAACCCACAGCAGUUGAAUUGCACGCUGGCACUGGGCUUGAACCGUUGAGGAUGAGGUGGCUCUGGGGCCUCUGCACAGGAGGUGAGUGUGAGUCGGUGUCUCUCCCACAGCUGAAGUCUGCACAGACAGGGAGGGGACAUUCUCCAGGCCCUACUCUUCCUGUCAGGGCACCCCCUCCACAGGCACACUCAGAGCCAACUCACCCCUGAACAAUGAAGCCAUUCUCCCUCCUGUUCCAAGAGCACUGCCUCACAGACAGCUCCGCCGUGGGGACUGGAAUGGCGCCCAUCCUAUAAACUGAGACCCGCAGAGACAGGUUAAGAAGAGACUGACCGGGAGACAAGGAAAGUGAGUGUUGAGUACAGGUGGAAGGAGGUAUGGCACUGUGCUUCCAAGCCAGGGAGGUGGCCUCGUGCUGUGUGCCUGGGUGUGGGCCAGGCCUGCUCAGGCCUCCUGCCACCGUGGCCGUUGGAAACGUGUCUGUCUCCACACUGACUGUGGAUCUAUGCCCUUGAGGACAGACUUAUGCCGUCAGAAAACACUUGUUGACUUGAACAUGUGAACUUCGUUCUACAUCAAGAAGGAUUAAUGGGUGGGGCACAAACAGGAAACAGAUUAGUUUGGCUCAGACUUUUGUCUGGACCAUGGAGAAUGAGGGACUGGGGGCAGGGGCUGCAUGGAAGUGAGCAAGCAGAAUUGAAGGAAAGGUCUGGAAGCCAAGAAUAUUAUUUUUUGACUUACAAAUAAAGAUUAAAAAGCUAUAACCCCCUGCACACACAUACAUACAGACACACAGGUGUGCAUAUGUGAAUACGCAUACCCCACUAAGAACCUGAAGCCACUGUGGUGGUGGAGGGGGGUGCUUCAUGCCUUCACACCUGACUGUGUCACCCAAAUUUCAUGUGUUGAAAACUUAAUCCCCAAAUUCUUAUGCUGAUGGCAUUUGGAGGUGGGAUCUUUGGGAGGUAAUUAGGAUUAGAUAAGGUCAUCAAGGUAGGGGUCACCCCAAUGGAACUGGUGGCUUUAUAAGAAGAGGACAAGAGAUCUGAGCUGGCAUGUUCUUGCCCUCUCACCAUGUGAUGCCCUCCACCGUGAUGCAGCAAGGAGGCCCUCAUCAGACCCCAGCACCGUGCUCUUGGACUUCCCAGCCUCCAGAACCAUGAGCCAAAUAAACUUUCUUUCUUUGUAAAUC